UCCCGUGUGGCUCAGUUGGUAGAGCAUGUUUGCAACGCCAGGGUUGUGGGUUCGAUUCCCACGGGGAA
rfam:Salmo salar isolate Sally breed double haploid chromosome ssa18, whole genome shotgun sequence.